rnacentral:rRNA from 1 species
GGGGGGUGCAAGCGUUAUUCGGAAUCAUAGGGCGUAAAGGGCGCGUAGGCGGUCUCUUAAGUCAGGUGUGAAAGCCUUCCGCUUAACGGAAGAAGUGCACUUGAAACUAAGGGACUUGAGUAUGGGAGAGGGAAGUGGAAUUCCUGGUGUGGCGGUGAAAUGCGUAGAUAUCAGGAGGAACACCGGUGGCGAAGGCGACUUCCUGGACCAAUACUGACGCUGAGGCGCGAAGGCGUGGGGAGCAAACAGGAUUAGAUACCCUGGUAGUCCACGCAGUAAACGGUGAACACUAGGUGUAGUGGGUAUUGACCCCCCUGCUGUGCCGCAGUUAACGCGUUAAGUGUUCCGCCUGGGGAGUACGGCCGCAAGGCUA